GACGAGCGCUGGCGGCGUGCCUAAUACAUGCAAGUUGAGCGCUGAAGGUUGGUACUUGUACCAACUGGAUGAGCAGCGAACGGGUGAGUAACGCGUGGGGAAUCUGCCUUUGAGCGGGGGACAACAUUUGGAAACGAAUGCUAAUACCGCAUAAAAACUUUAAACACAAGUUUUAAGUUUGAAAGAUGCAAUUGCAUCACUCAAAGAUGAUCCCGCGUUGUAUUAGCUAGUUGGUGAGGUAAAGGCUCACCAAGGCGAUGAUACAUAGCCGACCUGAGAGGGUGAUCGGCCACAUUGGGACUGAGACACGGCCCAAACUCCUACGGGAGGCAGCAGUAGGGAAUCUUCGGCAAUGGACGAAAGUCUGACCGAGCAACGCCGCGUGAGUGAAGAAGGUUUUCGGAUCGUAAAACUCUGUUGGUAGAGAAGAACGUUGGUGAGAGUGGAAAGCUCAUCAAGUGACGAUAACUACCCAGAAAGGGACGGCUAACUACGUG
rnacentral:rRNA from 1 species